AGAGUUUGAUCAUGGCUCAGAAUCAACGCUGGCGGCGUGCCUAACACAUGCAAGUCGCACGAGAAAGGGGCUUCGGCCCUGAGUAAAGUGGCGCACGGGUGAGUAACACGUGAAUCAUCUACCUUCGAGUGGGGAAUAACUGAGAGAAAUCUCAGCUAAUACCGCAUAAUACCUACGGGUCAAAGCAGCAAUGCGCUUGAAGAGGAGUUCGCGGCAGAUUAGUUAGUUGGCGGGGUAAUGGCCCACCAAGACGAUGAUCUGUAUCCGGCCUGAGAGGGCGCACGGACACACUGGAACUGAAACACGGUCCAGACUCCUACGGGAGGCAGCAGUGGGGAAUUUUGCGCAAUGGGGGAAACCCUGACGCAGCAACGCCGCGUGGAGGAUGAAGUAUCUUGGUACGUAAACUCCUUUCGAUGGGGAAGAUAAUGACGGUACCCAUAGAAGAAGCCCCGGCUAACUUCGUGCCAGCAGCCGCGGUAAUACGAGGGGGGCAAGCGUUGUUCGGAAUUAUUGGGCGUAAAGGGUGCGUAGGCGGUUUGAUAAGUCUGAUGUGAAAUCUCUGGGCUCAACCCAGAGUCUGCAUUAGAAACUGUCGGGCUUGAGUAUGGGAGAGGUGAGUGGAAUUUCCGGUGUAGCGGUGAAAUGCGUAGAUAUCGGAAGGAACACCUGUGGCGAAAGCGGCUCACUGGACCAUAACUGACGCUGAGGCACGAAAGCUAGGGGAGCAAACAGGAUUAGAUACCCUAGUAGUCC
rnacentral:rRNA from 1 species